ACGGGUGCGUAACGCGUGGGAAUCUGCCCUUUGGUUCGGAAUAACAGCUGGAAACGGCUGCUAAUACCGGAUGAUGACGAAAGUCCAAAGAUUUAUCGCCAGAGGAUGAGCCCGCGUUGGAUUAGGUAGUUGGUGGGGUAAAGGCCUACCAAGCCGACGAUCCAUAGCUGGUCUGAGAGGAUGAUCAGCCACACUGGGACUGAGACACGGCCCAGACUCCUACGGGAGGCAGCAGUGGGGAAUAUUGGACAAUGGGCGCAAGCCUGAUCCAGCAAUGCCGCGUGAGUGAUGAAGGCCCUAGGGUUGUAAAGCUCUUUUACCCGGGAAGAUAAUGACUGUACCGGGAGAAUAAGCCCCGGCUAACUCCGUGCCAGCAGCCGCGGUAAUACGGAGGGGGCUAGCGUUGUUCGGAAUUACUGGGCGUAAAGCGCACGUAGGCGGCUUUGUAAGUCAGAGGUGAAAGCCUGGAGCUCAACUCCAGAACUGCCUUUGAGACUGCAUCGCUUGAAUCCAGGAGAGGUCAGUGGAAUUCCGAGUGUAGAGGUGAAAUCCGUAGA
rnacentral:rRNA from 1 species